AACACCGAUGCAAAUGCUAUUGGAACACCCUCCAAAUCGGCAGCAAAUUUUCAACUCCGCACAGAUCUUGAAUUGAUACGAUUUUUUUUGCUCUUGCCAGUGUAGAAAAAAAAUGGAACAAGAACGUGAUAUGGACGCCUUGAUAGAGAUGAUGCGUGGCAACUUGGGCGAGUGGGUGAAAUUGAUGGAUCAAUGCCAAGCGAUGAUUGAUCAGCUGAAGAUGCAUAAAAGAGAGUUGUCGACAUCUUCAUUGUCAUUGGAUGACAUGUACCGAGAAGCAUUGCGCGACAAGGAGCAAAAACAGAUGGACGAAGCAUUGGCCAAGUUUCGAAAGGAGAAAGAAGAAAGAAAAGACGAAUGCAAGUCACAGAACGAAAGCACCAACAAUGAGAAAAACUAAACCGUCUAAGACCAGUCGAGACCAGUUCCACCGUACUGCCACAUAACAACAAGUCAUGAUUCAUUGAAUUGUGAACAAGUUUUCUUCAUUACUAGCUUCAUUAAUACAAUGACAUCUAUAGUGACAUUCUUUUUACAUUCGCACUCUCGCCAUAGGAAAAUG